rnacentral:rRNA from 1 species
UACGUAGGGGGCAAGCGUUGUCCGGAAUCAUUGGGCGUAAAGCGCGCGUAGGCGGCCCUGUAAGUCCGCUGUGAAAGUCAAAGGCUCAACCUUUGAAAGCCGGUGGAUACUGCAGGGCUAGAGUCCGGAAGAGGCGAGUGGAAUUCCUGGUGUAGCGGUGGAAUGCGCAGAUAUCAGGAGGAACACCAAUAGCGAAGGCAGCUCGCUGGGACGGUACUGACGCUAAGGCGCGAAAGCGUGGGAGCAAACAGGG